rnacentral:rRNA from 1 species
UACGUAGGGGACGAGCGUUGUCCGGAAUUACUGGGCGUAAAGGGCGCGCAGGCUGUAGAUCAAGUCAGCUGUGAAAUGUCUGGGCUUAACCCGGGCAUGCGGUUGAAACUGAUGUACUGGAGUGCUGUAGAGGCAAGUGGAAUUCCCAGUGUAGCGGUGAAAUGCGUAGAUAUUUGGAAGAACACCGGUGGCGAAGGCGACUUGCUGGGCAGCAACUGACGCUGAGGCGCGAAAGCCAGGGGAGCAAACGGGAUUAGA